CGUACGUAUUUGACCCGGAGUCUGACCCUGAACAGGAAGAGGCAGCUGUCCAAGUGUUGCAGCAAAGGCUACAGCUGGAUGUCUGUCCGUGGUGCUUAUGUGGGAAUUGUGCAACAAUGCCCACAGAGCAAGAAAACGUGUGCUGCAUGGAGAUCCCACAGGUUACAAGAAGAGUAAACCAGCUCCAGGAUCCACCAAGAUGUAUGCUUGACCAUCCUGGUCUUGAGCCUGUAUGUUUAAAUAUAUUCUCUUUGCAAAAUGCUAAUAACAUAUAUCGAGCUGACUAUGGGCCUUUGCGGCUUAGAAGUUUAGAGCAGUAAGUACCCCUUUGCAUUCAAAGAAUAACAUUUGCCAAAUAAUAUUUUGAACAUGACUUUUGAUUUUACUGUAUGUCAAUAAAUGUAAGUAAAACAAAUGUUUGUAUU